rnacentral:misc_RNA from 3 species
AACGCACAUUGCGCCCGCUAGUAUUCUGGCGGGCAUGCCUGUUCGAGCGUCAUUUCAACCAUCAAGCCCUAGGCUUGUGUUGGGGCCCUGCGGCCGUCCGCAGCCCCCUAAAAACAGUGGCGGGCUCGCUAUAUACCGAGUGCAGUAGUUUACUCUUCGCUCAGGACAUGUAGUGGGUUCUUGCCGUAAAACCCCCCAUUUAUCAAGGUUGACCUCGGAUCAGGUAGGAAUACCCGCUGAACUUAA